CUGUAAUUGAAAAGACACCUUCAGUAACUUCCAGCGAACCCCCAGAUAUCCCGGGAUGCGUUCCCUUCCGGUACGGAGAGGAAAUCGUAAGCGGAUGUGUCGGCGAGGAAGGGAAGGAGGAGAUAAUUGAGACGAAGAGAGAAGGAGUAUUAAUCAGCUGGCAAGUGAAAGGCAGAUGGUGCGCCUCAGAAGUAGACAGGAAUAUGACUGUGCUCUCAAUUAUAGGGUGCCCAGUCGUAUCAUGUGUCCACGGCUGCGUUCCCUUCCGAUACGGAGGGGAAAUCGUGCGAGGAUGCCUGGGUGAGGAAGGGAAGGAGGAGACAAUCAAGGUAGAGGGAGAAGGAGGAAUGAUAUAUAGCUGGACAGUGAACGGCAGAUGGUGCGCUUCGAAGGUAGACGGGAAUAUGAGUAUCGUUGCGAUUAUAUCCUGCCCAACCU